UUUUUUUUAUUCAUUAUUCUUGUAACCUAACCCUAGCUCCCAAAUACAUCUCUCAUCUCUUAUCUCAUUUCAGUCGUGCCUCCCCACUCCCUCAGCCCUCUUCUCUUCAGUCUUCACCCCCUUCUCUAGUUCUCUUGGCCUCUGUCUUCCUCCUCUCGCCUUCCAAUCUCUCGCCUCACAAUAGCCUCUCAAUCCAACAUCUCUCAAUCCAUUGUUCACCAAAUUUGAAACAACGGCGACCUCUGUUUCUACCUCUUUUCCGGUGAUGGAGUAAAAAACACCAACAAUUGAGUUUGUGAAGGCCUUCGUCAUAGCAGUGUAUAUAUAUACGCACACAAACGCGAUCUGAUUUGGUAGGCUGAAUCAACGGUUUUGAUGGCGUCAACAAUGAUGAUCUCGCAUGCUGUAGUGCGAGUUUAUGAAGAAGAAAAAAAAAUGGAAGAAGAGCCAAACCACCAGAGAUCAAGCUCAAAACCCUAACAACAAUCCGUAGAAACCGAUCCGAUCCGAUCCGUUACUUCACGGAUUGGUUUAGUUCGGAUUGAAGGCCUCCACGAAUCGGUUCGGUUUCAGUUUACACCAAUCCGUAGAGACCGGUUUGGCUUGAUCUUUAGCCCCAAACCGAACCGAUCCGAACCGUGAUUAGGCCUAAGCACGGCAACCGCUCCAAAGCUACAACCACAAGGCGCUCCGAUACACAAAACCCUGCACAAGAUCCAAUCAAGGAGAAAAUGAUCAAAUCUAAGCAGCAAAAAACCCAAAACCGGCCUAGAUCAGAGAUCUAACCCGAAAAAAAUAACAAAUUUGCCCAAAUGAGCCGAAAACAAAACAAAUAAGAGCAGAUUUAGCCGAAUAAAAACAAAAACGGCAUAAAAAAAACCCACGGAGCGCAGUUAUUCGAACACGCCGAGUUUAUUGCAAUCGUAAGAGGCAGCUAGCAGCUCCCCACUCCCACCUCUCUCUAACUUUUUCUCUCUACACCAGCCGGCCUCUUCUUCCUUCUGCGCUCCCUACUCCCUUCCAUUGAUGCAUUUGAUGGUUUUCACUUUUCAAGCAAUCCUCCAUUGAUGCAACCCCAAUGGAUUCUUGAAUGGAUAGACUCUUAAUUCUUGGAUCGUGGAACUCAAAAAAGGGGCAAAUAAAAUUUUAUUUUAAAAGUUAUUAAAUAAUUUUGUUUCAGUAUAAAAUGUCAGUUUUUCAUUGGGUCAAGUCAGUUUUUAUGUAUACCAUCAACUAUGUUUUAGGAAUGGGUUAAAUAAAGAAAGGGUAUAAUAGUAAAAGUAUAUUUUCUGUUAACUUUGACAGGGAGUGUAAGCGCCAUUUUUGCAAAAGUUUAAUCUACUCGCAGUACAAGAAAAUCAGAGGGGAUUGCACAGCAUUUCACCCCUGUUUUUGAAAGCUUGUAUAUUUCCUAUUCUAUUGUGAUAUGGAGGUAUUUAUUUAUUUAUUUUUUA